rfam:Trichobilharzia regenti genome assembly, scaffold: TRE_scaffold0030711
GUACUGCUGAAGAGUCCCAAACUCGGACGGAGGAGACAGCUGUCCAGUAC